UCCCUGGUGGCUCAGAUGGUAAAGCAUCCGCCUGCCAAUGCAGGAGACCCAGGUUCGAUCCCUGGGUGGGGAA
rnacentral:tRNA from 1 species